UACGUAGGGUGCAAGCGUUAAUCGGAAUUACUGGGCGUAAAGCGUGCGCAGGCGGUUUUGUAAGACAGAGGUGAAAUCCCCGGGCUCAACCUGGGAACUGCCUUUGUGACUGCAAGGCUUGAGUGCGGGCAGAGGGGGGAUGGAAUUCCGCGUGUAGCAGUGAAAUGCGUAGAUAUGCGGAGGAACACCGAUGGCGAAGGCAAUCCCCCUGGGCCUGCACUGACGCUCAUGCACGAAAGCGUGGGGAGCAAACAGG
rnacentral:rRNA from 1 species